GCCUACGUGUACAACUACUUCCUCUACGACGACUACUUCGUCUACAUCGCGACGCCGCACGUGUCCAAGUCUUCGAGUCCUACGACGACGACUACGCUUGUGUUCUUUUUCUAGGAUUCUUUCUCAAUUCCGGGCAAUUGAGUACUCCAGGCAAGCAGCCCUUCCGUGACCAUGUUGACUUUACCUAUUGCUUCUCCUUCAAUCUUGCAUUAAGUUAUGAUCUCAGUCUUGUCACGAUGCUUCUAGGUUGCAUAGCUUUUUAGUCAGCUCUACUUAUUGCCCUAUGUCUUGUUACUUGUCCUAAUACCAUGUCACAUGUUUGCUUGUUGCCCUAGUUGGUCAUUAGAUGUCAUGCUUAGACUGCUAGUCUAGUGUCCUUACUUGGGGUUAAACAAUUGCUACAUCCACAUGCUACUUUCUGUAUUUAAAUACAAUUAUUAAUCUGUGACA